CACUAAUACGUGUACUCGCUUGUAAAUAGGGACGGACAAGAAUAUGUAGGCUUUAGGUGCAUCUGUGAGUUGUGGGUUGCCCAUGAGGACCUAUGGAUAUUU